AAAUUGAAGAGUUUGAUCAUGGCUCAGAUUGAACGCUGGCGGCAGGCCUAACACAUGCAAGUCGAGCGGUAACACAGAGAGCUUGCUCUCGGGUGACGAGAGGCGGACGGGUGAGUAAUGUCUGGGAAACUGCCUGAUGGAGGGGGAUAACUACUGGAAACGGUAGCUAAUACCGCAUAACGUCGCAAGACCAAAGUGGGGGACCUUCGGGCCUCAUGCCAUCAGAUGUGCCCAGAUGGGAUUAGCUAGUAGGUGGGGUAAUGGCUCACCUAGGCGACGAUCCCUAGCUGGUCUGAGAGGAUGACCAGCCACACUGGAACUGAGACACGGUCCAGACUCCUACGGGAGGCAGCAGUGGGGAAUAUUGCACAAUGGGCGCAAGCCUGAUGCAGCCAUGCCGCGUGUAUGAAGAAGGCCUUCGGGUUGUAAAGU
rnacentral:rRNA from 1 species